CCAUGCUGGGAAUCCGCGUGCCUGCGAUCAGAUGACCCGCAUGCAUUCCCGCGCGCGUGGACGGUCCAGAUCAGUUCCCUCCUCAGUCGCGAUCGGUUAGUCAUGAUUAAAUACGAUGAACGGUCCAGAUUUGUUCCCUCCUUAAAUACGAUCAUACAGUCGAGAUCAACUCUCGAUGAACAGUUUAGAUUUAUUUUCUCUUUAAACGCGAUCAGACGAUCGAGAUCAAACGCGACGAACGUCCCACAUUUAAGGAAGACAGGUAUAAAUAUCUCGUAUCACACCGAACCCAAAUCCUACUCGCCAACCUCCCACUGGAGAAGAAAAACCAGUCAUCAGAGAAGGGAGCCGACCGCCGCCCGCUGCGUCGGAGCCACCUCCAACCACCAAAAAAAGGUAAAAAUUCUCCUAUCCGUUCGGAAUUUGAUUUCAAACACCCUCAUGGGCAAAUCAGAGCA
rnacentral:lncRNA from 1 species